rnacentral:rRNA from 1 species
AAGAGACAGCAGCCGCCGCGGUAAUACGUAGGGUGCAAGCGUUAAUCGGAAUUAUUGGGCGUAAAGGGCUCGCAGGCGGUUUCUUAAGUCCGAUGUGAAAGCCCCCGGCUCAACCGGGGAGGGACAUUGGAAACUGGGAAACUUGAGUGCAGAAGAGGAGAGUGGAAUUCCACGUGUAGCGGUGAAAUGCGUAGAGAUGUGGAGGAACACCAGUGGCGAAGGCGACUCUCUGGUCUGUAACUGACGCUGAGGAGCGAAAGCGUGGGGAGCGAACAGGAUUAGAUACCCCUGUAGUCCCUGUCUCUUAUAU